rnacentral:rRNA from 1 species
UACGUAGGGUGCAAGCGUUAAUCGGAAUUACUGGGCGUAAAGCGUGCGCAGGCGGUUAUGUAAGACAGAUGUGAAAUCCCCGGGCUCAACCUGGGAACUGCAUUUGUGACUGCAUAGCUAGAGUACGGUAGAGGGGGAUGGAAUUCCGCGUGUAGCAGUGAAAUGCGUAGAUAUGCGGAGGAAGCACCGAUGGCGAAGGCAAUCCCCUGGACCUGUACUGACGCUCAUGCACGAA